rnacentral:rRNA from 1 species
GACGAACGCUGGCGGCGUGCUUAACACAUGCAAGUCGAACGGAAAGGCCCCCACCUUGGGGGGGGUGCUCGAGUGGCGAACGGGUGAGUAACACGUGGGUGAUCUGCCCUGUACUUCGGGAUAAGCUUGGGAAACUGGGUCUAAUACCGGAUAGGACCAUGGCUUAGGGUCUCAUGGUGGAAAAAUUAUUGUUUUGGUGCAGGAUGAGCUCGCGGCCGAUCAGCUUGUUGGUGGGGGAAUAGCCUAGCAAGGCGGCGGCGGGUAGCCGGGCUGGGAGGGGGCACGCCCGCGUGGGCACUGAGCCACGGCGCAGCCGACUCACGGACGAGACUGUUGCGGAAGUCAGAAGAUGGGAGCAAGGCUGAUGCGGCGAAGCCGUGUGGCAGAUGCCGCGCUUCGGGUUGUAAGCCCCUUUCGUUAGAAACGACGCCACGCCUUUUUGGAGUGUGGGGACGGUACCUUGGUGAAGAAGCACCGGCUAACUACGUG